rfam:Alicyclobacillus macrosporangiidus strain DSM 17980 genome assembly, contig: Ga0104483_125
GUGUGAUAAUGGCAAACCAGUGGAAACGCUGGGACGCAAAGCCACGGGUCUACGGACGAAUGUCUAUGACAGCCGGGCUGCCACA